rnacentral:rRNA from 1 species
GAUGAACGCUGGCGGCGUGCCUAAUACAUGCAAGUCGAGCGAACAGACGAGGAGCUUGCUCCUCUGACGUUAGCGACGGACGGGUGAGUAACACGUGGAUAACCUACCUAUAAGACUGGGAUAACUUCGGGAAACCGGAGCUAAUACCGGAUAACAUGUUGAACCGCAUGGUUUAACAGUGAAAGACGGUCUUGCUGUCACUUAUAGAUGGAUCCGCGCCGCAUUAGCUAGUUGGUAAGGUAACGGCUUACCAAGGCAACGAUGCGUAGCCGACCUGAGAGGGUGAUCGGCCACACUGGAACUGAGACACGGUCCAGACUCCUACGGGAGGCAGCAGUAGGGAAUCUUCCGCAAUGGGCGAAAGCCUGACGGAGCAACGCCGCGUGAGUGAAGAAGGUCUUCGGAUCGUAAAACUCUGUUAUUAGGGAAGAACAAAUGUGUAAGUAACUAUGCACGUCUUGACGGUACCUAAUCAGAAAGCCACGGCUAACUACGUG